GACGAACGCUGGCGGCGUGCUUAACACAUGCAAGUCGAACGGAAAGGCCCUGCUUUUGUGGGGUGCUCGAGUGGCGAACGGGUGAGUAACACGUGAGUAACCUGCCCUUGACUUUGGGAUAACUUCAGGAAACUGGGGCUAAUACCGGAUAGGAGCGCCUGCUGCAUGGGGGGGGUUGGAAAGUUUCGGCGGUUGGGGAUGGACUCGCGGCUUAUCAGCUUGUUGGUGGGGGAGUGGCUUACCAAGGCUUUGGCGGGUAGCCGGCCUGGGAGGGUGACCGGCCACAUUGGGACUGGGAUACGGCCCGGACUCCUCCGGGGGGCAGCAGUGGGGAAUAUUGCACAAUGGGGGGAACCCUGAUGCAGCAACGCCGCGGGCGGGAUGACGGCCUUCGGGUUGUAAACCGCUUUCGCCUGUGACGAAGCGGGAGUGACGGUAAUGGGUAAAGAAGCACCGGCUAACUACGUG
rnacentral:rRNA from 1 species